AUUGAACGCUGGCGGAAUGCUUUACACAUGCAAGUCGAACGGCAGCACGGACUUCGGUCUGGUGGCGAGUGGCGAACGGGUGAGUAAUACAUCGGAACGUGCCCAAUCGUGGGGGAUAACGUAGCGAAAGCUACGCUAAUACCGCAUACGAUCUAAGGAUGAAAGCGGGGGAUCGCAAGACCUCGCGCGAUUGGAGCGGCCGAUGGCAGAUUAGGUAGUUGGUGGGGUAAAGGCCUACCAAGCCGACGAUCUGUAGCUGGUCUGAGAGGAUGAUCAGCCAAACUGGAACUGAGACACGGCCCAGACUCCUACGGGAGGCAGCAGUGGGGAAUGUUGGACAAUGGACGCAAGUCUGAUCCAGCCAUGCCGCGUGCAGGAUGAAGGCCCUCGGGUUGUAAACUGCUUUUGUACAGAACGAAAAGGCUCUGGUUAAUACCUAGGGCUCAUGACGGUACUGUAAGAAUAAGCACCGGCUAACUACGUGCCAGCCGCCGCAGUAA
rnacentral:rRNA from 1 species